UCACCUGUGAGUGCUGUUGGGACUCUGUACCCAGAUCCUCAGGUGCCUAAUUCUGGUAAAGCUGUCCCACCUGGCUUCCCAAGGAAAUUGGUUCUUUCUUUCUCAGCUCCUCCCUAAUUGUGGACUGGAGGAACUAAUUACCCUGAGACAAGGAGUUUUGUCUUUGGAGUGUUGUGGGGGGUUUUCCACUGCCUUGAGUGAGAGCAGGAUUGAAAGCUUUGCGACAGAUUAAAAAGGCUAUGUACUCAUUUGAACUAAAAUUACCCGGCUGCCAGCCUGCUUGAUAGCAAUUACAUCUAAAGAGAGAAAACCACUGAACUUCAUGUAUUGGUGUCAGAGCAGGCUGAGAGGCAACAUGGGGCACGGCCACAAAUGUCCGUGGGCUGUGAUAUCUCACUGCAGGGCAGGGAUCCUCUGCCAGCAGGGGGCUGCAGAGCCAAAAGGCCUCAAAUCCACCUCUCUACCCCUCUGAGCAUCCUGCAGUACGUGCAAUUUCAGUCAUUCCUGGCACUCAGCUCUUCUGUUAUUCGUUCUGCAAUUUUGAACUUCCUUAAAAGGAGACACCUUCAGUUUGGUUCAGAUACAUAAUUCGUGCUUUGUCAAUAGAUUUGUUUCUCGUACAGCGUGCCAUCACGCAACUAUCCCAGAAAUGUUUGAUUAUUUUUU